AUGUAUGUAAAAUUAAGCAUAUUAAUCUAAGAAUCUCUCUCCACAUUCGUAGGAUGUAAUCCCUGUUCAUUACUACUUAAUACCUCCACCAACAAAGACUAAGAAUGGCAGCAAAGAUAAGGAAAAAGAUUCAGAAAAAGAGAAAGAUUUAAAAGAAGAGUUUACUGAAGCAUUACGAGAUCUUAAAAUUCAGUGGAUGACAAAGCUGGAUUCUAGUGACAUUUAUAACGAAUUGAAAGAAACAUAUCCUAAUUAUCUUCCUCUGUACGUUGCACGACUUCAUCAAUUGGAUGCUGAAAAGGAACGAAUGAAAAGACUUAAUGAAAUUGUUGAUGCGGCAAAUGCUGUUAUUUCUCAUAUAGAUCAAACAGCCCUAGCAGUUUAUAUUGCAAUGAAGACUGAUCCCAGGCCUGAUGCAGCUACUAUAAAAAAGUACCUAACCAGUUGCCUUCUGAUUUCUGCAUCAUUCCAGCCCUUCUCUGGGCAGCCAGGAUCCAUCAGGCAGCAUUUGCCGAGUCUGCCCUGCAGACUCUGGCCGAGCGACGGAUGAAAGGAGUGCUCAGACACAGUGACAUGGACAAACAAAAAUCCACCCUCGUAGAUGCCCUUUGUAGGAAAGGUUGUGCCCUGGCAGACCAUCUUCUUCACACCCAGGCUCAAGACGGAGCCAUUUCCACUGAUGCAGAAGGAAAGGAGGAGGAAGGAGAAAGUCCUUUGGAUUCUCUGGCAGAAACAUUUUGGGAAACUACUAAAUGGACUGAUCUCUUUGACAAUAAGGUUUUGACAUUUGCAUAUAAACAUGCAUUAGUAAAUAAAAUGUAUGGGAGAGGCCUUAAAUUUGCAACUAAACUUGUGGAAGAAAAACCAACAAAAGAAAACUGGAAAAAUUGUAUUCAACUGAUGAAGUUACUUGGAUGGACCCAUUGUGCAUCUUUUACUGAAAACUGGCUCCCCAUCAUGUAUCCUCCCGAUUAUUGCGUAUUCUAAAAUAGGAAACAAGACUUUAAAUUUUAAAAAAGGAAGUUUUAUAGUGAAUGGGUAUAAAAACAAAUUUGUGGCAUUUUUAGUCUAAUGCAUGUUUUCAUCCACUAUCCAGUACUGAUUAUUAAAAUGACAUGUA
rnacentral:lncRNA from 1 species